rnacentral:rRNA from 1 species
UGAGGAAUAUUGGUCAAUGGGGGAAACCCUGAACCAGCGACGCCGCGUGUGGGAUGAAGGAGCUUUGCUCUGUAAACCACUGUUAGGGGGGAUGAAAAGCUUGCUUUGCAAGCUGGGACUGUACCCCCAAAGAAAGGAUCGGCUAACUACGUGCCAGCAGCCGCGGUAAUACGUAGGAUCCAAGCGUUGUCCGGAUUUACUGGGUGUAAAGGGUGCGUAGGCGGACUUGUGCGUCAAGGGUUAAAUCCCACGGCUUAACCGUGGACCUGCCCUUGAUACGGCAAGCCUUGAAUACGGGAGAGGAAGGUAGAAUUCUUGGUGUAGCGGUGAAAUGCGUAGAUAUCAAGAGGAAUACCAGUGGCGAAGGCGGCCUUCUGGCCCGUUAUUGACGCUGAGGCACGAAAGCGUGGGGAGCGAACAGG